AGCAGCCGCGGUAAUUCCAGCUCCAAUAGCGUAUAUUAAAGUUGCUGCAGUUAAAAAGCUCGUAGUUGAAUUUCGGGAUCAACUAACUGGUCGUGCCUAUGGUACGUACUGGUUUUGUUGGUUUCUCCCUCUGAGGAGCCGCGAUGUCAUUAAUUUGGUGUCGUGGGGAAUCAGACUGUUACUUUGAAAAAAUUAGAGUGUUUAAAGCAGGCUAACGCUUGAAUACAUUAGCAUGGAAUAAUGAAAUAGGACGUUUGACCCUAUUUUGUUGGUUUCUAGGAUCGACGUAAUGAUUAAUAGGGAUAGUUGGG
rnacentral:rRNA from 1 species